rnacentral:rRNA from 1 species
UACGGAGGGUGCAAGCGUUAUCCGGAUUUACUGGGUUUAAAGGGUGCGUAGGUGGGUUGGUAAGUCAGUGGUGAAAUACUUUCGCUUAACGAAGGAACUGCCAUUGAUACUAUCAAUCUUGAAUGUAGUGGAGGUAGGCGGAAUGCGUCAUGUAGCGGUGAAAUGCUUAGAUAUGACGCAGAACACCAAUUGCGAAGGCAGCUUGCUACACUACUAUUGACACUGAGGCACGAAAGCCAGGGGAGCGAACGGG